UACAGAGGGGGCAAGCGUUAUUCGGAAUUAUUGGGCGUAAAGGGCGCGUAGGCGGCCUGGCAAGUGGAAGGUGAAAUCCCUCGGCUUAACCGAGGAACUGCCCUCCAAACUGCUUGGCUUGAGUCCGGGAGAGGUGAGUGGAAUUCCCAGUGUAGCGGUGAAAUGCGUAGAUAUCAGGAGGAACACCGGUGGUGUAAACGGCUCUCUGGACCGUAACUGACGCUGAGGCACGAAAGCGUGGGUAGCAAACAGG
rnacentral:rRNA from 1 species